rnacentral:snRNA from 1 species
GGAUGUGAGGGCAAUCUGGCUGCGAUAUCUGCCACCACAUUGAUCGCCAGGGUUGAUUCAGCUGCGGUCCUCUUCCUGACCGCUCCAUGUGCGCCCCUCCCAAAGCUGCAUGCUCAGAAGAUAACGACGUUCCCCCGUAGCAGAUAACCUGUCUUCAUUCAGGGGUGUGCAGGUAGCUACACUCCCCUGCUAGGACCUCCAAACAAGCUCUCAAAUAAAUGAGUGAAAUAGAUUUUAAAAUGAAUCCUCUUUUCUUGUACCUAAAGAAAUGCUUGGAAGUAGGACAUG